rnacentral:rRNA from 1 species
AUUGAACGCUGGCGGCAUGCCUUACACAUGCAAGUCGAACGGCAGCACGGGUGCUUGCCCCUGGUGGCGAGUGGCGAACGGGUGAGUAAUACAUCGGAACAUGUCCUGUAGUGGGGGAUAGCCCGGCGAAAGCCGGAUUAAUACCGCAUACGAUCUACGGAUGAAAGCGGGGGACCUUCGGGCCUCGCGCUAUAGGGUUGGCCGAUGGCUGAUUAGCUAGUUGGUGGGGUAAAGGCCUACCAAGGCGACGAUCAGUAGCUGGUCUGAGAGGACGACCAGCCACACGGGGACGGAGCCACGCCCAGGCCUCCUGGGGGAGGACGAGGGGGGGAUUUUUGAACAAGGGGGAAAGGCCUGAACCAGAAAGGCCGGGUGGGGAAAGAAGGCCUUGGGGUUGAAAAGAAUUUUGGUCGGAAAAAAACUCUUGGCCCCUAAUACGGGGGGGGGAGGAGGGACCGGGAAAAAAAGCCCCGGGCAAACUACGUC